rnacentral:rRNA from 1 species
UACGUAGGGUGCAAGCGUUUAAUCGGAAUUACUGGGCGUAAAGCGUGCGCAGGCGGUUUUGUAAGUCUGUCGUGAAAUCCCCGGGCUCAACCUGGGAAUUGCGAUGGAGACUGCAAGGCUAGAAUCUGGCAGAGGGGGGUGAGAAUUCCACGUGUGAGCAGUGAAAUGACGUAGAGAUGUGGAGGAACACCGAUGGCGAAGGCAGCCCCCUGGGAUCAAGAUU